GAACUUUGAGCUACAUUUCUAUACCAUUUGCCUAAAACAAGGUAUAGUGUAAUAAGUCAAGAAAUACGAACGUAUGG
rnacentral:tRNA from 1 species